rnacentral:tRNA from 1 species
GCAGGUGUGGCGGAAUGGUAUACGCGCAGCGUUCAGAACGCUGUCCCGAAAGGGUUGGAGGUUCGAGUCCUCUCACCUGCA